rnacentral:rRNA from 1 species
GACAGAGGCCACGAACGUUGUUCGGAAUCACUGGGCAUAAAGCGCACGUAGGCGGCUAGGUCCGUCCGAUGUGAAAGCCCCCGGCUCAACCGGGGAAUAGCAUCGGAUACAGCCUGGCUUGAGGACGGUUGGGGUGAGUGGAACUCCUGGUGGAGCGGUGAAAUGCGUAGAUAUCAGGAGGAACACCGGUGGCGAAAGCGGCUCACUGGACCGUUUCUGACGCUGAGGUGCGAAAGCUAGGGGAGCAAACGGG